GGGUAAGGGAACGGACCAUUUGUCUAAAUGAAGAUGGUGUUAACAUGUAAAAUGGAAUCGACACUAUCAGACAAAGUUAUCUUUUUUCCUGCGUUUAUAAUUUUUUUUAUUUAGGUUUGCACUACUAAUUCUUUAUUUUUGUUUGAUAAUGGUUUGCGCAUUUUUUCGUUCGAUAUUUUUCUUUUGGUCAUAUUAUUGCUUGUUCUCUAUGACUUGUGAUGUUUGAUUACGCGCCUUCCUUGGUCCUUUUUUUCUUUUUAAUUGAUGGCUUCCACUCACUAAAUUUUGAAAUCAGCUCAACUUAAUAAAUUAUGUAAAGUGUUCUCUGGCAACCGAAGGAGAUUUAGCACCA
rnacentral:lncRNA from 1 species